AAGCUUGUUCCCUGAGAGGUGGCCGCAGACGAACCCACUGCUCAGUCUGGCAUCCCGAAGCCGCUCCGCUCCUGGCUCUCCCCGCUGUUCCUGCGCGCAGCGGGGGCAGUGCCCCCACACCCACGCGUGAUGGGAAGGCCGGCCUGGGGGUGGGAAGGCCCACCGAAAUAGAUGGUCCCCACACCUCACUGCUUCCUUGGAUGUGGCUAUUUUUUAUGCCAGUGUUCUCCUGCUCUGACCCUACUUGAACUUGACCGCAACCGGCCCCGCCUUGCAGGCCACCCUCCCGCAGCAGAAAACUGUGCGGAGCUCGCGCUGUCCUCGCCUCCGCUGACCCCACCUCCAUGUCCUCACAGACACUAUUUUUUCACAACACAGCUCAGAUCCCACCUUCUUCAUGAGGUUAUUCAACAAACACUAUUAAACUUGUAAGAUGUACCAGAUCCUGAGUUGGAGGCUGAGAGGAGGACAAGAAAACUGCUCCCGUAGCCUAGAGGGAGGGAGAGUCGCUUAAACCACCUGAUGCAGAAUGCUGAGUGCGGAGACCAGGAGGGUCCAUCUGAACCUCAGGGUCCUCUAGGAUACCCAGGACCUCGAGGGUUAAGUCCAGGGUAGAGAUGGAAUUCGGAGUCUGAAGGGCCAUGAGGGUGCAAAGGGAACAUCGGGUGGUGAUGGCCUCCAUGAUCCCCCAGAGAAAGGGUGUGACUUGAGUGCCUUCUUCCUCUGUGCUCCCCAGGGAGCAGCAGCAUCAGAGUGCUCCCAGGGUGCCAAAGGGACACACUGGACCAACUGGAGACCCUGGGCCCCCUGGAUUCACAGCUGACAAUGGAUUGAGGUGGGUAUAGAAGAAGUCAAGGAAAAGCCCCUGUCAUGAAGAGUUGGAUGGAGACAGGCACAGAGUGGCCGCAGGUCCAAGCAGAGUGAACAUGCGUCCAAACUGGCAGUGGCAGCCCCUAGAAGGGAGACACCAACAGCACCGAGAUCUGUGGUCUCCAGAGCUGACAUCUCCUGCACUUGCCACGUGCAGGCGCUGUGCGGGACCUCCUCUCCAUCCUGUGAGGUGGGUGUGGACAGUCCUAUUUUGCAGGUGAGGCUUUGCAGAGGCACAAGCAGGCCAAGUCAUCACAGGGUCAUCAAAUGGCAGGGCAGGAACUGAGCCACAGUGGUUGAGCUGCAGAAUCACUGCUCCCAACCCCCUGCUCCACAGCUGCCUGGGCUGGAUGAGCCCUGGAGCAGCAGGAGGCAUACAGGGGAGCUGGGUGCUGCACCGCAUGGGCAAAGGGCCGGAGACGUGUGGGGAAACUAGUCCUGGUGAAGCAAGAGUGGGUGCUGGGGCAGAUGGAGCUGAGGGUGGCAGAUGGGCAGCAACUGGAUCACAGCAACCUUGAAGGACUUGACGGAGCUGCAGGCACAGGGAUGUCAGAUCCCAGCACUAGAGUUGGAGAAAAUUCACUCUUAGGAAGAAGGAGACUGGGUGUGCUGGCUCCUUCCUCACCCCAGGGAGGAAGCUGAGUUCCCCUGCCCAGCACCUGCCCCAUUCUCCUGACUCUGUCUACCUCUGUCUCUAGGGUCUCCCUGAACUCAGGGUCCCAAUGGAUUUCCUGGCCCCAAAGAGCCCCUGGGCACCCUGGGAAUGACAAGCUGCCGGGACACUCAGGCCAGAGAGGAAAGGUGGUGAGGGAGACCCCUGGCCACCAAUUCUCAGGAGGCCCCUCAAAUGCCAAAGCUGUCUGGGAGGCCCACAGAGACAUUUUCUGAGCAGAACAGAGCCUGCCCUAAUGCUGUCCACACCCACGGGCCGAGGCUUGAUGUGACCUUGUUCCUCUUCUGGAGCCCAGGCAUCUACCCUACAGCACCCACUGCACUCCCCCCUUUUCCUCUCAGGGUUUCCAAGGGGAGAGCAGCCCCCGUGGCCCCCCAUAUGUGGUGGGACCUCAGCUAGGUCUGUUCCCAGGAGAGAACGGCUCCCAGACCCUGGAGUUAAGUCUGUCUGGCUCUCUUCUCUCAGUCACACACCCCUGCCUCUGGCUCGCAUGUCUGGAACAGGGUGUCCAUGGGGUUCAAGGGAAGGAUGUUCCUGGUCUGAGGGGCUUCCCAGGAGAGAGAGGCCUCCUAGGCACUGCUGUGAGUGUGACUCCCAGAGCCCUGCCUGGACCAAGGACCAAGUGACCUGAACCCCUCCCUGACCCUGACCCUGCUCCAUGCCACUCCCCACUCCCAUCUCUCUGAACCUAUCUCCUCUCGCCAGCCCUCACCCUUCUCUUUUCUGUGAAGCUCCACCUUCCCCAAAUCUCUGCUUCAGAGUGUGGACCCAGCUUGAAGAGGAAUGAGGUCCAGUUGGCCCCCUUACCCUGCAGGGAGCCUGGGGUUCCUGGGGAGUGGGAGGAGGGAACUAGGAAAGGGGGUGUUGAGGCAGGGUGGAGGUGGCAUCCAGAUCUACGCAGGUGCUGUGGGACUGGGCAGAGGGAAUCUAGAGUCAGCCAGAAUGCAGCUGAUUUGGGGCUCUUCUCCUGGGAAUUGUGCUCUGAGGGCCCUGGUAUGAGUGGGCUUGGGUCUUCCUCCCUGGGGAUCUCACUCAUCUCAACUUUCAGGGUUCCCCCCUAGGGAGUGAGGUGCAGCAGGAUCAAGGGACCCAUUGCCCCCCGCCAGGGUGCCCAGGCCCUCAGGAACCCCCUGGAUCAGCAGGAGAGACAGGGUGAAAAGGGCCCCAUUUGUCUGCCUGGCUGUGAUAGGGUGCAGAGUCCUGUGUGACUUCCUGGUCCUGCUGGGCCUCCAGGUGUGGCUGGAGAAGAUGGAGACCAAGAGGAGAACCCCAGAGAACCCGACCAAUCUUCUCUCCACAUGAGAGGGCUGAGGGCCCUCCUGGACCCCCUGGACUCACUGGUCCAUGGAACAGCCUGUAGCAGUGGGAGCAGAUUGGGAGCCCAGAGCUCAGGGACCCCAGGGACACUUUGGAGCCAGAGUGUGGGGAGCCAAAGGCAAUAAAGGGACUACCUGGACCCAGUGGCACUGGUGGUCCACAAGAUCCCCUGGGAGGUGUUGGGGCCCUGGGUCCCCCUGGAGAGAAGGAGAGUCAGGAUCUCCAGGAAUCCAGGGUGAGCCGGGUGUCAGGGUCUUGGUUUUCCUGGAGACCCUGGCCCCCCAGGAGAAGGUGGCUCAUGACCAGGACAGUGUUAACGGUGACUAUGGCAAGGAUGGUGAGCCAGUACAGCCCGUGAGUGACCAAUGUCCCUGCCACCCCCACUGAGCUCCAGCCUUCAGCCCCUUACCCCUCUUUUCUGUGCCCUACUCCUGAGGGGUCCCUUAGCUGGAGGCCAACACUCACCCACCCCAAUUCCUCUCAUUCUGUGGAUCCUCUGGUCCCACUGGGGAGAAUGGACUACCUGGACCACAUGGAAAGCAGGGUCAGCUAAGAAUAGCCAUGACUCAAGGGUCAGCUAAGAAUAGUCAUGACUCAAGGGUCAUUUAGGACACAGGAAGAUACCAGAUGAGGAAACUCUCCCCAAGUCCUAAACUCAUUCACAAAUUAGAACACAUAGGUCCAGCCCAGGCACAGUGGCUGAAGCCUGGAAUCCUCCCGCUUCCUGCUUCGGGAGACCAAGGCAAGAGGAUCUCUCGAAGUGGCACGGAGAAGCUCUCGCUCAUCGCUGCCUCCUACCACUCCGAACAUGCUGCAGUCUCGUUGACCACGCUGCAGUCUUGGUGGCCACCACCAACUGCAGGGAGCCUGGCCAGGUGCCGCAAGUUGCAGCCUCCACCUCCUCCUCUAAGUCGGGCUUGGAGCAGCAGCGGGAGCAGUCACAGAAGAGGCUGGAAUGGUGGAAUGCACCCUCAGUAUGCAUUAUAUAUAGAGGUUUCGGCAAUGAGGGCCUGGACUUUGUGUUCUGAUUGGAUGGGGGAAACCUCUAGGCUUUAUCUUCAUGCCCUGAUUGGUUAUCCUAAGAGUUGCUCUCAUCCAGUCUUCUUUAUAAGUGGUCAUCUUUGUAAGUUCAUGCCCACUGGGAGUUACUGAAGUUGUGAAUGAUUACAUUUAAACUUAUCCUGUAAUUUUAGUCUGAUUUAUUAAUUCCACCUAUCUCCUUAAGCAAAUUAUUCUCUAUAGUGAUGACCCAAGCAAAUUCCUGUCCCAAGAUGGUAUCAAGAUGAUACCCAAGUUCCUCUCCAGAAUGGUAUCUGGAUAUAUGUGGAGGGAAAUAUUUUUUCUAGGCCUGUAUUAAAUAUGGCACUAAAGCUUAGUGGCUUAAAACAAUACACUGUUAUUAUCUCACAGCUUCUGUGAAUAAGUAGUUCAGGAGAGUGUAGCUGGGUGAUUCUUGCCAAGAGUCUCAUAAGGUUGCAGUCAAUCUGUUGGUGAGAAUUGUAGUUACUUGAAGACUUGGAGUUGAAGAAUUUAUAUCAAAGAUGGCUUACUUAUGGCAAUUGGAUGGAAGCCCCAGUUUCAGAAUGGCUGCUGGCAACAGGUCUUUUUACUUGCCACAUGGACCUCUCCAUAGGCUGACUGAAUGUCCUCCCAAUGUGUCAUCUGGCUUUCUCCAGUGCAAAAGAUCAAAGAAGAGAGUAUGAAGGAACCCGUAAUGCUCUUUAUAAUUUUGUCACAGACCGUCACUUCUGCCAUACUCUAUUGUUUAGAAGUUAGUCAUUAAGUCCAGCCCACACUCAAAAGAACGAGAAUUAACCUCCACCUUUGGAAGAGAGGCUAGUCAAAGCACUUGUGGACAUGUUUUGAAACCACAAAGGGGUAUGGCUGCCAGUCUCCAAGAUGGCCGCCAGUGAUUCUCAUCAGCUGUUAUUAAUACAUUUGUAUAGUCCCUUCCCACAAGAAAAAAGAGUUGAUCUGUUUAAUUAGUAUUAUUUUGUUGAAAUGACAGAGUCUGACUUGCAAGUUUAGGUCAUAAGAAGAAUUUUGACUUCUGCCUUAUUCUCUAUUGGAUCAAUAUCCCUAGGGGAAGCUAGAUGCAAUGUCAUGAAAUCAUUCAAACAGUCCCAUGGAACAAUCCAUCUAGCAAGGAACUGAUAUCUCCUAGCAAUAGCUGGCAUUAACUUACAAGUCGUAUGAGUGGGCCAUCUUAGAAUUGGAUUCUUCAGUCCAAAUCAAGUCUUCAGAUAACUGUAGCCCUGGCUGACAUCUUGAUUACAUCCUCAAGAGAGACCCUGAGCCAGAAUCACUCAGUUAAGCCACUGAGUUCUUUUUGCCAAAAACUUUUUUUUUACCAAGUUCUUUUUGCCACCAACUUUAUUGAGGUAUAAUUGACAAUUAAGAUUGUAUAUAUUUAAGGAAUACAACUUGAUGAUUUGAUAUACACAUACAUUGUGAAAUAAUCGUGAUAAUUAGGUUAACAUAUUCAUUACUUCACAUAAGUACCAUUUUCGUGUGUGUGUGUGUGUGUGUGUGUGUGUGUGUGUGUGUGUGUGGUGAGAACACAUGAGAUGUAUCCUCUUAGAAAAUUUCAAGUAUACAAUAUAUUAUUGUUAACUACAGUCAUAUUAUUGUAUACUAUGUCUCCAGAACUUAUUCACCUUGCGUAACUGAGAUGCUGUACCCUUGACCAAUGUCUCCCCCUUUUCUUCUCCCUCCAGCCCCUGGUAACUACCCUUCUACUUUCCAGUUCUAUACAUUUGACUCUUUUAGAUUCCACACAUAAGUCAAAUUUUUGACCCUUAGGAGCUGGGUGAAUAAUAAAUAUUUAUUGUUAUUUUCA